AGAGGGUGCAAGCGUUGUUCGGAUUUACUGGGCGUAAAGGGCGCGUAGGCGUAUUUGUAAGUCAGCUGUGAAAGACCGGGGCUCAACCCCGGAACUGCAGCCGAUACUGCAAGUAUAGAGAUAGUAAGAGGAAAGCGGAAUUCCUAGUGUAGAGGUAAAAUUCACAGAUAUUAGGAGGAACACCAAAGGCGAAGGCAGCUUUCUGGGACAUAUCUGACGUUAAAGCGCGAAAGUGUGGGUAGCAAACAGGAUUAGAUACCCUGGUAGUCCACACCCUAAACGAUGAGUGCUAGGUGUCAGGAAAUUAUUCUUGGUGCCCAAGCUAACGCAUUAAGCACUCCGCCUGGGGAGUACGGUCGCAAGAUUAAAACUUAAAGGAAUUGACGGGGACCCGCACAAGCGGUGGAGCAUGUGGUUUAAUUCGAUGGUACGCGCGGAACCUUACCAGCCUUUGACAUUUAUUUGAAAGGGUAGAGAGAUUUACCCCCUUUGAGCAAUCAAACAGAUAAACAGGUGUUGCAUGGCC
rnacentral:rRNA from 1 species